rnacentral:rRNA from 1 species
UACGUAGGGGGCAAGCGUUGUCCGGAUUUAUUGGGCGUAAAGAGCGUGUAGGCGGCCAGGUAGGUCCGUUGUGAAAACUCGAGGCUCAACCUCGAGACGCCGAUGGAAACCAUCUGGCUAGAGUUCGGUAGGGGAGACUGGAAUUCCUGGUGUAGCGGUGAAAUGCGCAGAUAUCAGGAGGAACACCGAUGGCGAAGGCAGGUCUCUGGGCCACUACUGACGCUGAGAAGCGAAAGCAUGGGGAGCGAACAGG